GGCGGCCGCGUCGGGCCCCUUCGGGGACCCGCCGAGGAACGUCCGGGCUCCACACGGCAGGGUGGUGGGUAACACCCACCCGGGGUGACCCGCGGGAAAGUGCCACAGAAAGCAGACCGCCUGGUGCCGCGAGGCAUCCGGUAAGGGUGAAACGGUGGUGUAAGAGACCACCAGCGUCCGGGGUGACCCGGACGGCUCGGUAAACCCCACCCGGAGCAAGGUCAAGAGGGCCCGUCGAUGGAUUCGGCGGGCCUGCGCGGACGAUCGAGGGCUGCCCGCCCGAGUCCGCGGGUAGACCGCACGAGGCCGGCGGCAACGUCGGUCCCAGAUGGAUGGCCGCCU
rnacentral:RNase_P_RNA from 1 species